rnacentral:rRNA from 1 species
ACGAACGCUGGCGGCGUGCCUAAUACAUGCAAGUAGAACGCUGAAGAGAGGAGCUUGCUCUUCUUGGAUGAGUUGCGAACGGGUGAGUAACGCGUAGGUAACCUGCCUUGUAGCGGGGGAUAACUAUUGGAAACGAUAGCUAAUACCGCAUAACAAUGGAUGACACAUGUCAUUUAUUUGAAAGGGGCAAUUGCUCCACUACAAGAUGGACCUGCGUUGUAUUAGCUAGUAGGUGAGGUAACGGCUCACCUAGGCGACGAUACAUAGCCGACCUGAGAGGGUGAUCGGCCACACUGGGACUGAGACACGGCCCAGACUCCUACGGGAGGCAGCAGUAGGGAAUCUUCGGCAAUGGGGGCAACCCUGACCGAGCAACGCCGCGUGAGUGAAGAAGGUUUUCGGAUCGUAAAGCUCUGUUGUAAGUCAAGAACGAGUGUGAGAGUGGAAAAUUCACACUGUGACGGUAGCUUACCAGAAAGGGACGGCUAACUACGUGCCAGCAGCCGCGGUAAUACGUAGGUCCCGAGCGUUGUCCGGAUUUAUUGGGCGUAAAGCGAGCGCAGGCGGUUUGAUAAGUCUGAAGUUAAAGGCUGUGGCUCAACCAUAGUUCGCUUUGGAAACUGUCAAACUUGAGUGCAGAAGGGGAGAGUGGAAUUCCAUGUGUAGCGGUGAAAUGCGUAGAUAUAUGGAGGAACACCGGUGGCGAAAGCGGCUCUCUGGUCUGUAACUGACGCUGAGGCUCGAAAGCGUGGGGAGCGAACAGGAUUAGAUACCCUGGUAGUCCACGCCGUAAACGAUGAGUGCUAGGUGUUGGAUCCUUUCCGGGAUUCAGUGCCGCAGCUAACGCAUUAAGCACUCCGCCUGGGGAGUACGACCGCAAGGUUGAAACUCAAAGGAAUUGACGGGGGCCCGCACAAGCAGUGGAGUAUGUGGUUUAAUUCGACGCAACGCGAAGAACCUUACCAAGUCUUGACAUCCUGCGACGAUGCUAGAAAUAGUAUUUUCCUUCGGGACGCAGAGACAGGUGGUGCAUGGUUGUCGUCAGCUCGUGUCGUGAGAUGUUGGGUUAAGUCCCGCAACGAGCGCAACCCCUAUUGUUAGUUGCCAUCAUUCAGUUGGGCACUCUAGCGAGACUGCCGGUAAUAAACCGGAGGAAGGUGGGGAUGACGUCAAAUCAUCAUGCCCCUUAUGACCUGGGCUACACACGUGCUACAAUGGUUGGUACAACGAGUUGCGAGUCGGUGACGGCAAGCUAAUCUCUUAAAGCCAAUCUCAGUUCGGAUUGUAGGCUGCAACUCGCCUACAUGAAGUCGGAAUCGCUAGUAAUCGCGGAUCAGCACGCCGCGGUGAAUACGUUCCCGGGCCUUGUACACACCGCCCGUCACACCACGAGAGUUUGUAACACCCGAAGUCGGUGAGGUAACCUUUUGGAGCCAGCCGCCUAAGGUGGGAUAGAUGAUUGGGGUG